CCUACGGGUGGCUGCAGUGGGGAAUAUUGGACAAUGGGGGGAACCCUGAUCCAGCCAUGCCGCGUGUGUGAAGAAGGCCCUCGGGUUGUAAAGCACUUUCAGUGAGGAAGAACGCCUGGUGGUUAAUACCCAUCAGGAAAGACAUCACUCACAGAAGAAGCACCGGCUAACUCCGUGCCAGCAGCCGCGGUAAUACGGAGGGUGCGAGCGUUAAUCGGAAUUACUGGGCGUAAAGCGCGCGUAGGUGGCUUGAUAAGCCGGUUGUGAAAGCCCCGGGCGCAACCUGGGAACGGCAUCCGGAACUGUCAAGCUAGAGUGCAGGAGAGGAAGGUAGAAUUCCCGGUGUAGCGGUGAAAUGCGUAGAGAUCGGGAGGAAUACCAGUGGCGAAGGCGGCCUUCUGGACUGACACUGACACUGAGGUGCGAAAGCGUGGGUAGCAAACAGGAUUAGAUACCCCUGUAGUC
rnacentral:rRNA from 1 species